rnacentral:rRNA from 1 species
GACGAACGCUGGCGGCACGCCUAACACAUGCAAGUCGAACGGACUUACCAGAGAUUGCUUGGUUACGUUAGUGGCGGACGGGUGAGUAACACGUGAGCAACCUGCCUCUGAGUGUGGGAUAGCUUCAGGAAACGGAGGGUAAUACCGCAUAAAAUAUAAAUAUCGCAUGAGAGAUAUAUCAAGGUAGUUCGCUCAGAGAUGGGCUCGCGUCUGAUUAGCUAGUUGGUGAGGUAACGGCUCACCAAGUCGACGACGAGUAGCCGGACUGAGAGGCUGAACGGUCACAUUGGGACUGCGACACGGACCAGACUGCUACGCAAGGCAGGAGUAGGGAAUAUUGCACGCUGGAGGGAACUCUGAUGCAGCGAUGCCGCGUGGAAGAAGAAGGGGUUCGGAUUGUAAUCUCCUUUUAUCAGGGACGAUAAUGACGGUACCUGAAGAAAAAGCUCCGGCUAACUACGUG